ensembl:lncRNA
UUACAUUCUGCCAACGCAGCUUCAGCUGACAGCAUGCUACAUCAUCUAUUUUUCUUUGUACCAAGAGUGGAAGGGCUGCCCAGCUCAGCACGACUCUUUCCCUGACUUAACGCAUGGAGAACCACCCCACGAGCGUGGAUCUGCAAGGAGAGGUUAAGAUCAGUCCAGGCUCACUCAUCUUGACAGAGGAAGAGCAGAAUUCGCCCCAUAGUCCACUCUAACACAUUCACAUGGGGAAGAGCGCUCCGCCUUUAGAAUCAUAAAGGGACCUCUGACCACAGCGAGGAGGGGGCUGCGGUGUUACCAUCCUGACUCAUCUAAACGAUUCCAAAGAAAACAGACAUUGUUGAGAGAAGAAUUGCCGUGUCCAGGUAAGCUUCAUUUAUUGCAGGGCGACAGUGUCAGCUCAGAGAAAUUCAUCAGCUGAAUCAGUCAUGACGAAACUGG